UCCGGGUAGAUUACACUGCAUGACUUACCUCUGCUCUUGCAGAGGAAUGGAAUCCAGGUGGUGGUCUCCAGGCAGUGCCAUCAUAUUAAUCCCAAUCUGCAGCAAUGCCUGCCCACAGCGGUCCGGACCCUGAAAAGACAGACCAGGAUGGGUCUGUUAAGAGAGGAGGUACAGUGUCUUUACUUCUCAAAUCUGGGUGGUAAGAAGCCAAAAUAGAUGAGAGAGAAGGUCUACUCAGCCUCUUCUUCUGAGCUGAUUCACACUCUGAUGUCCUCACACAGAGAAGUAUGUACUGAAGACCGCACACUAAAAUUCUCAUCUGAGACUGGAAGACUGGUGCUGAGCACAUGAAGAUGAUGAGAAGCGUGACUCCAUUCCCCAGAGGUUAUGCCCAUCUCCAAAGGCCUUCACUAAAAGCCCCAGCUAAAGUAUCAAGAAAUGGAGCUGAGGAAUGUAGAUGAGGUGGAAAGAGCACAUGGAGAUGUAAACAGGAAGGAGGAAUCUUCUGCCCCCACUACUUCGUUGCAUGGAUUCUGUUGUAU